AUUGAACGCUGGCGGCAGGCCUAACACAUGCAAGUCGAGCGGAAGAAGGGAGCUUGCUCCUGGAUUCAGCGGCGGACGGGUGAGUAAUGCCUAGGAAUCUGCCUGGUAGUGGGGGAUAACGUCCGGAAACGGGCGCUAAUACCGCAUACGUCCUGAGGGAGAAAGUGGGGGAUCUUCGGACCUCACGCUAUCAGAUGAGCGUACGUCGGAUUAGCUAGUUGGUGGGGUAAAGGCUUACCAAGGCGACGACGGGUAGCUGGUCUGAGAGGAUGACCAGUCACAGUGGGACUGAGAUACGGCCCAGACGCCUACUGUAGGCAGCAGUGGGGAAUAUUGCACAAUGGGCGGAAGCCUGAUGCAGCAACGCCGCGUGCGGGAUGACGUCCUUCGGGUUGUAAACCGCUUUCGCCUGUGACGAAGCGUGAGUGACGGUAAUGGGUAAAGAAGCACCGGCUAACUACGUG
rnacentral:rRNA from 1 species